CUUCUGUCUCACUUUCAUUGAAUUUGUUGAUUGAGUGUGAAGAAGGAGGCACUGUCAUCAUUUCCAGAUAUGGGGUGGAUCUCUCUUGGAGCAGUGCUGUGACCCUAACGCAAUUUUGUAACGACGAGCUGGAGGGAUGAAAAGGGCACCAGAGAAGGCACCUUAUCCCCUCUUUCUCUUCUUUCAUGGGUUCAGGGAGGCAGCAAAAGAGAGGAGGAGGACCCUUCUACUUGCCCUCUACUGAUUCACUUCACAUGUGGGUACGGAGCACCUCCUACCUCGCAUGUAAUACUGAGCACCUCCCACCUCGCAUAACUUCCAGUAAUAUGCUGAAUAAGAAUGGUGACAGUGGACACCCUGACUCAAUUCCUGAUCUCACCACGCCCCGUGACUUCACACCCUCCUCCAGACUUGGCUUCCUCCUAGACUGCUGACCCCAGGAUGGUUUGAAGACCCACGUCCUUCUGUCCUCCCUCCACUGCCGGUCACCCCCCGUGCUUCUGAGUCAUCCCUUGUGGCGGGCAUCUGGCCACCGCUCCCAUGACCCCACAACAUUGCUGUCUGAGAAUCACCUCCCCAGAAGUGUUAACCCAAACCAGUGAACGAAAAGACAUUGUCAAGACUCGUCACGAAGGGGAAGAAAGAAGGAGAAGACCAAACAUACCCCUCUGGUGGGCGGUGGAAACUCACCAGGAGGGGCCGGCAAGACUCACAUGGUGGGAGCGCCACGAGGCAGGGGCUGACGGAAGGGCCUCCCGCCCACGCUCAGAGCCUCCGCUGUUUUGCCUUUCUGGGGCUGCUGGGGGCUCCCACUGAGCGCUGCUCCUGGGCCCUUAGCAAUCAUCAUUUUACGCAUUUUGAUCCUGGUCUAGUCUUCUGGCUUUCUCUCUCUCUCUCUUUCCUCCUUCUGAAAGUCUGGGUGCAGGAGACAACCCUUCCUGCCCCAAACAGGAGCGGGAUGUCCCCAUCCUCAGGUCUCGUCUCACUAUUGACGCCACCCGUGCCCAGCCCCAACAUCUCCACCUGUCACAAUCCUCCCCAACCCUUCAGGCCCAGCUCAACUCUUUAAUGGGUGAGUGAAUAAC